CUACGGGAGGCAGCAGUGGGGAAUAUUGGACAAUGGGGGAAACCCUGAUCCAGCAAUGCCGCGUGAGUGAUGAAGGCCUUCGGGUUGUAAAGCUCUUUUAUCAGGGACGAUAAUGACGGUACCUGAUGAAUAAGCACCGGCUAACUUCGUGCCAGCAGCCGCGGUAAUACGAAGGGUGCUAGCGUUGUUCGGAAUGACUGGGCGUAAAGGGAGCGUAGGCGGCUUUGUACGUUUGAUGUGAAAGUCCUGGGCUUAACCUGGGGACUGCAUUGAAUACGGCAAGGCUUGAGGUAUAGAGGGGAAGAUGGAAUUGCGUGUGUAGAGGUGAAAUUCGUAGAUAUACGCAAGAACACCAGUGGCGAAGGCGAUCUUCUGGCUAUAACCUGACGCUAAGGCUCGAAAGCGUGGGGAGCAAACAGGAUUAGAUACCCGCGUAGUCCG
rnacentral:rRNA from 1 species